UCCUCUAAUUUUUUUUCUUUACUCUUUCUCUUUUCUUGUUAUGCAAAAGGGAAUAUAUCUAUAAUUUAAGAUUUAUGAUUCUUACUUAGAUUACUUAAUUUUAAGUUUGAAAUCGUCCCUCACCUUCUCGGCCGAGACUAGCUAAGCUAUUUGCCGACAGUGUGAGUAUGUAAAAUAUUAUUUGUAAAAAGAAAAUAAAAACUGUUCUGUAUAUGAGAAUAUUUUUCGAAAUUUACUUAGGUAUGCAGAGGUUGCCGACUAUGACUGGAACUACUACAAUCAGUCUACGGGCGUCAUCGGCCACUUCACCCAGGUUGUAUGGAAAAACUUGUUACAACUCGGCGUCGGUGCUGCUAAGUACACGGCUGGAGGUUUGACGAAGACCUACAUUGUGGCCCGCUACGCUCCAGCAGGGAACGUGGUUGGACAAGCAAACUAUGACGCAAACGUACCGCCACUGAUAUAGGGCCUUCGAGACUACCAGUAAGACACCGCCGAGACGCAGACCAGAUCUUUAGUAUAAUAAUGAUCAAAACUAAAACGCUAGCCUAAUUGUAAUCAGAGCGCGCAACCCACCCCAACCCUCCCCUUUUUUGGCGGGUCAUUUCUUACUAACGAAUCUUCACAAUGUUUUUCCAUAUGAUACCUUUGACUGCACCAAUCCUAAGCCAAUCCUGGGUACGCGCCCUUUAAUUGUGUCGGGUUUAGGGUAUGUAAACAUAACACUGAUACUUAAUGCUUAAGGGAAUAAAAACAUUGAAGCAUC